CAGUAGCCACGGUAAUACAGAGGGUGCGAGCGUUAAUCGGAUUUACUGGGCGUAAAGCGUGCGUAGGCGGCUUUUUAAGUCGGAUGUGAAAUCCCUGAGCUUAACUUAGGAAUUGCAUUCGAUACUGGGAAGCUAGAGUAUGGGAGAGGAUGGUAGAAUUCCAGGUGUAGCGGUGAAAUGCGUAGAGAUCUGGAGGAAUACCGAUGGCGAAGGCAGCCAUCUGGCCUAAUACUGACGCUGAGGUACGAAAGCAUGGGGAGCAAACAGGAUUAGAGACCCCAGUAGUCCCUGUCUCUUAUAU
rnacentral:rRNA from 1 species